UAUAUAUAUUUUUUUUAGACGGGGAAAAAAAAGCGCACGUGAAAUAAAUAAACAGGCUGGCGAAGCGCAGCGUCUCCGGCUGAACCCCGGAAAGUUUGCCGGCGGAUUGUUAGGAGCCCUUAUCUUAAUUAUUAAUGCUUAUACCCAGCACCGUCCCCUCCGCCCGCCAGUCACACACAGAGUUGCGGGGAGAGUCGCUGCGGUGUGUCCGCGCCGCCUCCGUUCUCGCCACCGGCCCGGGAAGGGGAAAAGUAACGGUCGCGAGAAAAAUAAAGAAAUGGUUAUUUAUUGCACAAACGUACGGACGUGAGAGCAAUUGCAGGGAAAAGGAGAUUGGGACGAGAGAGAGAGAGGAGGGCGCAUAAGAGACGACGGGAGAAGGAUAACGCGAAAACGCUGAGGCGACUGAGGAAAAGUGGACAGUAGGACACUAAAGAAAGGCGCAGACUGUACUUCCAGAAGAGUGGACAGCAGCCGAUGCACCUGAAAACUCAUUUCAGCCCGGCAACCAAGUUCUCAGGUGCAACAGUGGCCUGGAGAGCAGCCUUUCACACAGGGAGACGUUUAGUGGAGCAGAGUGAAUGAGGUGCCUAGCUCUAGAGGGCAGCUGCAGUGCCCCACCCCAGAUCGAACCCGUGACCCUGCGAGUCUGAAGCCCUUACCACUCCUCCACACUGCUGCAAUAAUGAACACGCCUGCACGUAACAGGCAGAAUGCCAGCAUUCUCUGCUUCCCACCUUUCCAGGAGACUUCCAGCGGUAAUAGACGGUAAUGGUCUAAGACAAAUCAACCCGUUCUUGUAAAAAUAGCACCAAGUGACUCUGGCUCUUAGAACACUCCUAGAUGCUUGUUUUAUUCCCACAACCACAACGGCAUUAACAAAUAAAACGUGUAGCCAGAUCUCUCAGACAGGGUUCUGCGGCCAGAAUCCAUUCCCUGCACAGGAAGAGUACAGAAUGCCUCCUUUAAAUGUCUUCCCUGCUAUUGCACUGUUGAGCUAUUUUAUUUGCACUGCAGUUACCCUAUUAAAAAAAGAUGGCAUUUAACUAUGUGUGUACUGCUGUGUUUGGCAAUGUGGGAAUCUCCUUGCAUUACCAAUAUGCAGACAUAAUUACUCAGUUUAUGAAUAUGCAUGUACUUAUAAUUAACUGAAAUCUUAAAAGAACAAAAAAGGCAAUGGACUAUCAAAAAUAGGUUAACUUUAACCUGAUUAAAUAUCCUACUCCAUAUUUCACACUAUACUUUUCAACUCUGAAGCAUCAAACCAAUUUCUCCCUGUCAUUGGUAAACUUUCAUAUGUUCUUAUGUGCUGACAAAAUUCUCCUCUUUCAGUAAAGACCUUCUAAAAAUUGUAAUGGCAUACCACAACAUGAUAACUCAAUAAACUACUUGUAUCCUGCAUUUAGCAUUGAGGGUUAAAAACAGAUAUUUAAGUUUUUUAAUUUGAAAAUGAAAGCUGGAAAAAAUGAAGAGCAAAGCUAAAUGAAGGUCAUUUUCUUCCAGUGUUAUCCUGCAGUAGGCUCCUGGAAGAUAUACAAAUCAUAAUGCAGACAUUUGCUUCAUGGGUGGGUAACUUUGAAAAAAUACAAAAAAUGUAAUCUUUUUUGUAUCUUUACAAAAAUAAUUAGGGAUACAGCUGGAAUAUCCCGUGAUGCCCUCAUGUCGGCUGACACGCACUGGAAUAGGAAGGAGAGAGAGUGGGCUUUCUUCAAAUCUGUCAGCGCUAUUUUAAUCUGUUCCUGUGGGGGACUAGGCCUGGAAGGUCUCUCUGUGUGAAUGCGUGCAUGUGAGUGUGCAAGAGUGUGGGUGUCUGCGCGAGAGAGUGUGCUCGUGUGUGUGUGCAAGGGUGUUUGUGUCUUUGUAAGUGCAAGGUGUUGCGCUUACAAAAACACGUUUGCGCUUCGCACGAGUGCGAUAUUGUGUGUUGGCAUGUGUGCAGGACUGUGUGUUUGUGCUUGUGCAGGAGUGUGUAUUUGUGUGUGUAAGAGGGUGUGAAUGUGUAGAGCUAAACCACUCCCUGUUUUUUGAAGAUUCUGUUUGGAGUGAACAGCAAUUAAUUUCAUGGAAACACGAUGAUCUAUGGUGACUUCCCAGUGUCCUGUACAGAAUAAGACCCACCUUUCCAGUCACCUGUGCGUUAAAACGGAGCUUCAGCCCUUCACAAUUACAGGCAUUCCAAGGUGUCCACCAACGCAGGAGCUGAAUGCAAUCUGCAGAGAAGGCAUUUCUGAAACCUAACCUGACACAACCUGCCAUGUUGACAGACUCAGGAAUUCAGUCUUAAGUACCUCCAAUCCAACAUCAUUUAGAAUCCCUGUAUUAAUUGAAACUUGGAAUGAAUAAUGGCUUUUCUUCGUACUUGACACUACAUCUGUACAUGCAGGCAUAGCUCUUCAAACAACCCAUCCUUCCUUCUGCUAAAUCGUCUUCAAAAGCUUUGCCUUUAACAUGAAAAAAAUCUUCAAGGCAAAUAUUUACAGAAGGCAAUUUCGCAAUGAUAGUGCUUGCGCUCUCAGUUUCUUGGUUAUGAUGUAAGCAUUUUAAAAAAUGUAUUCUCUAAUGCCCUUAUUUCCUUAAGUGUUUUCCCAAAGGUUAGUCAUUAUGUAAUUUUGCCAUCAUAGUUAUUGUUAAAUAUAAUUGUUUGUACUUCAAGUAGAUUUAGAUUCUGUUAUUGAAAGCCUCACAUUUAUAGUAUAAUGUGAGAUAGAAAGAUUGCUGUUUUUAGCUUUUUCGCUUCAGCUCAUUUCCAAGCAAAGGGCAAAGCUUCAAAUCCUAUCACAUCUCCCGGCACAGAGUGGGAUUAUUGUAGACGAUUAGAAUAUGAAAUCUUAAUUCAGUUGCAAGGAAAACAAUAUACACAUUUUUCAAGCGUAUUGUAUUUCUAUCCCGUAAAGGUUCAAACCAUUUUUAUCCAGAAAUACAGAUAUACGCAUUAUUUUUCUAAGUCAAGGAAGAUCGUUUAGGACUACCUGACCCUUCAGCUGAAACCCCACUGCUAAGGCUGAGUAUGAUCAGUAUCACUGUGAACCAAAGGAAAUGCCCACACUCUGGAAAUGAAAAUAGCUACUCCCAAACAACCCUUUUCUAUGUCAAACUAAAUAAUUUACAGCUCAGAAAAGUGGUGAUAUGACUCCAUUUUCUGUUAAUCAUACAUCUUGGCAGCCGUGUGAUGUUUUUGACUAUAAGGCUCUGGGUUCAUUUCUUGUGUGAGGUGCAGAUUAUGUAGCCUUUAUCAGGGUGCUUCACUCAUAUCUGCUCCAGCAAAACUUAAACGGGUCUCGCAGUUGUCAUUGCAAAUGAAAAUAUGUUUUUAACUGACUGCUCAAGUGAAUUAAAUUUUAAAAUGAAGUACCAAAUAAAGUAAUAAUAAAGAACUCUCUCACUCAGUAUCCUCCUCUUUUCUAAAAACACGGGGGUAUAUAAUAGUUCAAAUGAAGGCAGGGGCAGAAUGAGAUGAAAUGUAUACCUUGUAAAGUCACCUACAUUUCAAAUUAAGCUUGAAAAUGAGGAUGAGCUAUUUUCUCAUUAAAGGUCAUUUGUAAUCAAGUUAGUUUAAUGUUCCCACAAAUCUACGUGUGUGAGGUUUGAAAGACACAACAUUUUUCAACCCCAAAGCACACACAAACCAAAGCCGAGGGGAGGAGUUCUGAAAUGUCAUACCUGACAAGCAAAACCAGCCAUAUUUGGGAUGAAGAUAUCUAUCAUCUCGUGGUGAAAAUUCAGCCCCAAUCAAGAUCAUUUUCCUUCUAGUAAACCCAAACAGUGGUUGAAAUGACCAGGCAAUCCUGUUUCAGGGAGAAAAUGUCAAAGGUCAUAGAAGGUCUAUAAAAUAUUUGCAGUGACUAUCAAUAAUUCUGACACCCAGACUAAUACAGUACAGAAUUGUAAGAAGAUGCAGAUGCCCCUAGCAUUCAUCUGCUGUAUGUGGAUGACCAAAAGGCUAAAGGCCAUUGGGCAGUUUGUGUUUUUUAGUGCAUGUGAAAGGUCAAAGGGCACGAUCUUUAAACUUCUGACUAAAGUCAUUGCUUAGGAUGGUUUUGCAGUUAUAUAAAAUGGUAUUUUUGUAAUUGGAAAAAUACAUCUCUAGGUGGACUGAAAUAUCACCUUAAAUUUCAAAGCUGUAUCAGGCAGCAUAGUAGACUAAUUCAAGAAUGACACUGCUUUUACUAUUUUUUUAUAAUUCUAUGUGAUCAAAGGAUUUCAACAUCUACCAUAUGACAAGGGUACUGUUACUGUACCUAAGUGUUCCUACACUACAAAAGCCUUUAGAGACUAUUAAAUAUGAAUGGGCAAGGUCAUGCAGGUCAUAGCAUGCAUUUAGCAUCAGUGACCAAUGCCAAAUGCAGAGGUCAAAGUGGAAUUCGUUGAGCUCCAGCGUAAGAUGGAAUACAGAGAGCGUAUGCAUUGUAAUGCCACUGAUUUAUGGCUGUAGAUAAGAGUGUGGAAGGGAAGAAAACACUUUUCUUUUUCAACUGCUGUCAGCUUCUGUAAACUCUCUACUUACUCAUAUCAAUCAACCUGUCAUAUUGAAUCACCGCAGUAUGCUUUUGGCAGGGAUUAAAAAGCUUUGUCUGUGUUUCUCCCUUUGCAAGACAUGACUUUCAUUGUACGGGUUUUGUCUCUGUGAAUUAUCCCUUUUAUUAUCCCGUUGUAUCCCUAAAGGUACAACAUUACCGUUGGGAAGCAUUGCAGCCACACAUGUGAGAGAUGAGUAAAGUUUUCAUCCGUGUAAACCAACUCAAACUGAGCGACCGCUAAGACCUUCUUCCUUUUAUGAAUCAAGAUAAUUAGGAAAGCAAAACAUCGCAAUGUGGAUGUCAACAGGUGGAUUGUGGAAAGGUUUGGCUUAGAUCUGGAGGUAUUUCCUUCUUUUGAUUUGAGCUCUAGUGAAGGAAUGUGUCUUUCUUUUUUUACUUACUUUCCAUUUGUACUUUUCCUUAGUUUUGACGUGUCGUUUGAUUGAAUGUUGUAGAGGGGUGUGACUGAGUGAUUGAAUGUCGCAGGUCUUGAACUUCUUGAACAACGGCCCACUUUGGAGGAAGUUCCCAGGACAUGCCUCCAGGUGAUCCAAGACAUUUAGAAUGUUUUUUUACUGUCAGUCUCAUACCUGUUCCAGCAAAAAGUAAUAAAAUACCUAUUUUUUUAGUUUUAAUUACUUUGUUAACUCUACUGCCUGUAGUUUCCCAAACCUUUCUGAACCUUUUCCACUGGGACACAGGAAAGAGCACUCUUGUGCAGAGCCAUUUCAACAAUGUUCUGCUCAGCAAUUACACCCCAGAUACAGGGCGAAUAAACAACACCUCAUGUGGAAUGAUGAUGCAAAAACAAUUUAGACAAAGGCUCUUUUCCAAUGCCAGUCCCCCGACAGGCACUGAUGGCAUAACAUGGGAGACAAAAGUGACAUUGCUGCUUAAUCUUAAACAAGAAUAUAUUAUAAAGGGCUUAAUGAUCAGUCUUUCCCCCUGCGCAAAUAUUAAAAGUCCAUCCAUUAUCAGGAUGUUGCCUCUUCAGAUGGGGGUGACCGGAAUCUGUACUGGAAAAAGGAUGCAGACAAUACCGCUCUCCCUCUGUAAAGGGUGUCUGCCUGUUGCAGGGCACAGAGAAAGGGGCAAUUUAGAAUAUCCCAUCAAGUCUUUCCAUGUAUCUUAGGGAAGCAAGGGAAAAAAAGGAGCACCUGGAAAACCAAAAACUUGCAAACACAGGGGUAACAUGCAAACUCCACACAGAUAGAUCUCAUAGAUCAGGAUUGAACAGAGGAUAUUGAAGCAGGCGAGAUGCCUGUGAACCAGCACAGCAGCUCUCCACCACCACGUUGCUGUGAAUGUCUAAAGUACUUAAGAUCUGAAAAUACAUUCAUGAGGUUUUGACCAUUCUUUUCACUUUUGUGCUCCGUCAAAAAGCUAGAAAUCAAAAAGAAAAAGGAAGCUUGCAAAUGAAUGUAUUCCUGAUGUUCUUUUAAUCAAUUCUUUUUUUCUCCAGUGAACUGAAGAAAAUGUCAGGAAAAAAAUUGAGUAUGGUCCGAUAAUGAGUUCUAUAAAAAUAAUUUUAAUUGGAAAAAACUUCUUGUAACAAAAUAGAUGUUUUACGUCUGUCUAUGCUGAAAUUCACUCUAUAUUUCAGGCUUGUGGGAGUAUAGAACAAGCCACCCAGCCAUGUUGUUGAAGCCCAUUCAAUGGUUUGUUUUGAAAAGGCUGGGUUAGAUCCUCAAAUUAACUAGGUACUAACACCUAAGCAAAUUAGACCUUCUUAUAUUCUUUCUUUGUAAUUCCUGCUUCAGCACCUUCUGUAGUUCUGACACUUAAAUCCAAAAAUCAAAUUCUGAAAUAUGAAACAAAUUCUAUAGGCAGUUAUUAGAGAAAAACCACGUAAGCACUUAAAACAAGUGCAGUGUAACAGCGUUUGUAAGACCGACAAAAUAAAAACAGGAUACAACAACGAUGGUACCGCACAUUUUCAACCCUUCAUCUGUGCAGCUGAGCUGAAGUCAUUCCAAAAUAAAUGCAUGAAACAGAACUUCAUUAUGAGGGAACCCACAUCAUUCACCAGCCUCCUGGUGCUGAAAGGCACAUUGAGAAAUUACGUCACCAGCUGAAUUAAGGGAGAACCUUAGGGAAGCCAGAUUGUUCAACCCCCGAGUGGUAGUUAGCUGGGACGCCCUGCCUAACACUCCCACUGCCCUGAACAGUGCCCUGGCUGUAAUUCACGACCUCAAUUGAGCACGUCAUCCGCCAAAGGGCACUUCUUCCCAACAGUUUUCCAGUCACCAUACUGGAGCAAGGAUUCAUCCAUUUCCCAAACCACUCCAGCGCUCUGCGGGGGAGCAGCGAGUGCGAAGUGCGAUGCAGCCCGGACUGGACGGCAGACACCCAGACACAAAUACACACACUCACACAAGGGCCAAUGUUUUCUUUUUUCGGAAGCCAGUUAACCUACCUCCAGAUUUGUGGGAAUGUGGGAGGAAACUGUAGUCCCCAGGGGAAACCCACACAAACACAGGAAGAACAUAAAGACUCCUCACAGCCAGCAGAGAGGAGUUGGACCCGGGGCCCCAGCAAUGCGAGGAAACGAUGCCAAACACUGCGUCACCGUCCCACCCUGUACUGCGGCAUUGCUUUAGAAACUCUGGUCCAGGGGGAAAAGCGCCUCCUACUGGUCCACCAACACAACUACAAAAGCAACCAGGUUUUCUGCUGAGGUUUCCCAUCCCAGGACUGACCGGGACCAGCCUUUUGUCAGCCUGAGAACGUUAAGAGACCACAUUUUCUUGUGAUUCACGUUUAACCAUUAGGAGGGAGUGCUUGACCGGUAAGUCUGUGUCAUGUUUUGGUUUUAUAAAGCAAUGACUGAAUAAAGACU